rnacentral:lncRNA from 1 species
AGUUGCAUUCACAAAACCUUUCGCAAACCCCCCCACAUUGUGUUAGACCUGAUUCUGAACCGNAGUUGGUCCUUGAGAGACGACCUAGGAGUCACUUCCUAGCUAUACUGCAUUUCUUAUAUGCAAUUAAAUUUGAUUGGGUUGCGACACCCAUCAGUGAGAUUCUGUCUACUUCCUUUCAUUGUCCANAUUUCUUGAGAAUUGUGAAACUCUGUUUCUUUCCUUGUGAGUCUUUGUUGUCUGUGUCACUUCCCUGAUGUCCGUUGAGUAGUUCCCUGGUUUUCGUCUUGGUUUUGCCCAGGAGUGCAAAAGACUAAGUGUGGUCUAUUUUGAUGAACUGAUAUUUUAUUGAUU